UUUGCUCUCCUGAUGAAGACAAAGGCUGUUGAUCCACUGAACCCACCCAGACACUAUGUGGUUUCUUGAAUGUCCUACGUACAUUUUGAUGGAUUACCCAAGGACUAUCUGAUGAAGAAUAAUAGAGACAUAUAAAUACAUAUGGGCUACAUCUUGGCAAAAUAAAGUAAUCCUGAAGUAAAUUCUAAGGAUGUUCUGAAUUGACACCUCUUAAGCACAACCGAAUGUCCUGGUGGCUUUGCCUCCCACUGGGGCUUUUUGGCUCUUGUUUGGCCCCAGCGGCUGCUGCAGCUCUGUCUGAAUUCACACAGGAGCAACAUGAUGGUGCUCAGCCCUCGCCGAAGUGUCUUGCUGAAGAGUUGGGAGAUGCUUGGACUAUUCAGAUAGAAGCCAGCUGGAAGUACAGGGCAGUCAACACAAACCAGAGAGGCAAACUUUUGGCCAGUGAGACAUGGAAAGGGAGAAGAAAUACAUUCUUCUUUCUCCCCUAGAGUGAGGACCAACCUGAGUCCCAGUCACCUGGAAUCCCCUCAGACGAGCGUCCCUUGAGAUCCAGCACAUGGCAGCCAGCGUGCUGACGAUUCCUUCCUGCCUACUGGCUCCUUCUUAUUUCUGCCUCCGUGGAACUGUAUUCUCUAAUCAAUAUUAGCACAUACAUAUUGCCCCAGACUGUACCUCCU
rnacentral:lncRNA from 1 species